rnacentral:tRNA from 1 species
GUUCUUGUAGUUGAAUAACAACGGUGGUUCUUCAAGUCA